AUUACUGUACCCUCCCGGCAGCCUCCGGCAGAACACGCAGCAGCAGCAGCAGUUAGCGCUGAUGCAACUAUCGUUGCUGUUGCCACCGCCUCCCCACUGACGGGGCGUGCACCUGGGGGGUACUUGCAGUUUCCAGGGGCAACAAGCAUCUCUCUACCACCCUCUCCUGCGCCCCUGAGAGAGGCUGGCUCCAAGCUUGAUAUAGAAGACUAUCAUAUGAACCAGAAAGGGUAACUGAAACCAAAGAAAUGACUCCAGUAUCAAGCUAAAGACAUGCCUUAAAGGAUGAGGAGGAGCAGAAAUCUUACCAGCAAGGCAAGAAAGAAGCCGUACGUGAACAGCCUCUGCUUUAGGCCCAGAAGGAAAAGAAGCUUACAGGAGACAAUCAGUCUUACACUCUUCCAUGGUCACAAACAAGAGGUCCCUGGAUCUACAGGUCAUCUUGCCCCUGAAAUGGCCCUGGAAAGCUAUGGCUGAAGAAUGGAGGAAAAGAUGACUUUCUCUGUUUCUUCAGACCAGGCAUCAACUGGGAUGUUGGGAUGUUGAUAAAAGGACAUCUCAUCCUUUGUUUUCUGCCUAUGCUUUCACCAUACCCAUUCCCAUGUCUGGUCAUCACAGCAUCCUUCACAGCCCUUAGCUGAAUCAUGUUGAGUACAGGAUGGUGUGAAUAUCAUGGUUUGAAUGCAACCAUGGUCUGUCAGUGUGGCUUGUUUUUUG
rnacentral:lncRNA from 1 species